rnacentral:tRNA from 1 species
CGGGGUGUAGCUCAGCCUGGCUAGAGCGCGUGGUUUGGGACCACGAAGUCGCAGGUUCGAAUCCUGUCACCCCGA